UGUUGGGUGGUGGUGUGUGUGGUGGUAGUGGUGUGUGUGGUGGUGUUGGUGUGUGUGGUGGUAGAGGUGUGUGUGGUGUUGGUGUGUGUGGUGGUAGAGGUGUGUGUGGUGUUGGUGUGUGUGGUGUUGGUGUGUGUGGUGGUAGAGGUGUGUGUGUGGUGGUGUGUGUGGUGGUAGAGGUGUGUGUGGUGUUGGUGUGUGUGGUGGUAGAGGUGUGUGUGUGGUGGUAGAGGUGUGUGUGUGGUGGUAGAGGUGUGUGUGGUGUUGGUGUGUGUGGUGGUAGAGGUGUGUGUGUGGUGGUAGAGGUGUGUGUGUGGUGGUAGAGUUGGGUGUGUGGUGGUAGAGGUGUGUGUGUGGUGGUAGAGGUGUGUGUGGUGUUGGGUGUGUGGUGGUAGAGGUGUGUGUGGUAGUGGUGUGUGUGGUGGUAGAGGUGUGUGUGGUGGAGGUGUGUAAUGUGUGACAGUGACUGUAUGGGUGUGUUUAAAUGUUUAAAUUUCAUAGUAGUGGUUGUCAUUUAGGUGAUGAUUCUAGUUGGGGUGGCAAUGGUACUGGUGGUGUUGAUUUUGGUAAUGAUGUCUUUGGUGCUACUAGUGGUGAUACUAUGUGUGGUGAUGAUACAAUCUCUGGUGGUGUAGGUGGUAAGUGUAGUGAAGGUGGUGUGUGUGUGUGUGUGUGUGUGUGUGU